UUAUCGGAGAGUUUGAUCCUGACUCAGGACGAACGCUGGCGGCGUGCCUAAUACAUGCAAGUCGAGCGAACAGAUGGGAGCUUGCUCCCUGAUGUUAGCGGCGGACGGGUGAUGUUAGCGA
rnacentral:rRNA from 1 species